rnacentral:lncRNA from 1 species
UCUUUCCUCCAUCUCAAACGCAUAUAUCCGCACAGCCCCUCCCCCAACGGUAGCCCUCUCCCUUUCAUUUCAGUACCUACAGACUGGCUGGCUGUGGUGGGACGAAGUUCUCCUACAGAGGACUCAGAAAAUUCAUCACGAUGCGUUUCCCCCCAGUGGUGUGGAACUAUACAUUUCCUGGACUCUUUCGGAGAGAUGACUCUUUCCAAAGGACAGUUUACACUCCCUAAGAAUGUGACUAAUGACUUUGCAAUUUGCAUUCUGUGUGAGCAGAGCUCCUCUGGACCUGUGUCAGCUCCAAACACAGUCUAGUGGGCUGGAUUCCACAUGGAAAGUCUUACGGAUACACAAACUUCCACUCAAGUUUUCAUUGCAAGGAAAUAAAUAGCGGCAGGGUUUAAGUUCCUUAACCUGGAAGAUGCAAAGUGGACUGUGGAAGGCUUCUGUGGGGUAAAGGAUGACUAGAGACCUGAGCUGAGAUGGAGCGCACACCAAUACGGACAUCACAAAGAACAAGGAGCUUUCACGGUAAAACUACUGUGAUCUCUAGCAACAAAUAUAUAAAGCACGGUUUGUCUUCUUG